GACGAACGCUGGCGGCGUGCCUAAUACAUGCGAGUAGAACGCUGAAGAGAGGAGCUUGCUCUUCUUGGAUGAGUUGCGAACGGGUGAGUAACGCGUAGGUAACCUGCCUUGUAGCGGGGGAUAACUAUUGGAAACGAUAGCUAAUACCGCAUAACAAUGGAUGACACAUGUCAUUUAUUUGAAAGGGGCAAUUGCUGCACUACAAGAUGGACCUGCGUUGUAUUAGCUAGUAGGUGAGGUAAUGGCUCACCUAGGCGACGAUACAUAGCCGACCUGAGAGGGUGAUCGGCCACACUGGGACUGAGACACGGCCCAGACUCCUACGGGAGGCAGCAGUAGGGAAUCUUCGGCAAUGGGGGCAACCCUGACCGAGCAACGCCGCGUGAGUGAAGAAGGUUUUCGGAUCGUAAAGCUCUGUUGUAAGUCAAGAACGGGUGUGAGAGUGGAAAGUUCACACCGUGACGGUAGCUUACCAGAAAGGGACGGCUAACUACGUG
rnacentral:rRNA from 1 species